UACAGAGGUCUCAAGCGUUGUUCGGAUUCAUUGGGCGUAAAGGGUGCGUAGGCGGCGCGGUAAGUCGGGUGUGAAAUCUCGGAGCUUAACCUCGAGCUGUCGGCGGAAACCAUCUGGCUAGAGUCCGGAAGAGGAGAAUGGAAUUCCCGGUGUAGCGGUGAAAUGCGCAGAUAUCGGGAAGAACACCCGUGGCGAAGGCGGUUCUCUGGGACGGUACUGACGCUGAGACGCGAAAGCGUGGGGAGCGAACAGG
rnacentral:rRNA from 1 species